ensembl:lncRNA
GUAUGUAGGCCUCUUUUCCCAUCUGAUGAACCACAACAGUUCGUUUUUAUAUUGACUCAGCAAAAUGUAUUAAUUUGCAACUAAAAAAGAACCCCAAGUGAUACAGCAAAUCUUCAGGUUAAAACAAAUGGAAGUGCGGGAGCUUAAGAGUUCCGUUUGUUCACCUGCUUAAAUGAUAGGUAACAUUGUUUUUAAUACGUAAUAAAUGUUAACGUUAUCCCUCAGACGCACAUAACUAUAGUAAACAUGUUACCGCAGCAUAUCCUACCACAGAAUUGUUUCGUGCUACAACGAUCAGUUAUCAACAUGACCGCUAUCAAGAUGUUUGACAAGCCUACUAUGCCACUCUAGUCCCAUGUGAAAGGGGGAUGUAGUUGAAUGUGAUGGUAUGACUAAUGGCAGACUAGAUUAUUUGCCGUAGUUUGCCAUGGGGGUUAUGUUAUGUGUUUUUGUGACUCCAUGCAAAUGUAUAUCUGUGUACUGUAUACGUUUUAAAUUGUUACCCAUAAAAGGAGGCUGUCCCAAUAUGUAUUUAGGAUAUGUUAGGCCAGGGGUUCUCAAACUUUUGCAAGCUGGGCCCCCCCAAAGCUGGUUAGGGGUAGUCGGGGCCCCCCCAUCCCCCGCGCCGCCCGCAGCCCGCCGCCACCGCCCUCAACUACACCACCAUAUAUAGAUAGAUAGAUAGAUAGAUAGAUAGAUACCGUAGAUAGCAUAUUGUUAUUGAUAGGCCUGACAUGUCAAGGUUAGGCUAUUGUUAUUGUUAGGCCCAUACAGACAAUUAUUAUAACUAUUUAGUAUUAUUAUUGUUAUUAUUAUUAUCAGUAAUAGUAGGCCUAUCAGUAGGCUAUUCAUUAUUAUCACCAUCAUUAUGUUAAUAUUAUUAUAAUUAAUGAUUAUCGACCAAUUAUUAUUAUUGUAUUAUUAUUAUCAUCAUAAUCAUAAUAAUAAUUAUUCUUAUCAUUAUCAUAAUAAUAAUAAGUAUUAUUAUUAUUGCUAUCAUUAGGAUACUGUUAUUAUUAUGGGCCUCUUGUGAUCUUUACAAAAAAAAUCCUACAGGUCUGUCAAUGUGAGACAUGAGCCUGCUUUGCACUGCAAAGGUCCUCAAAUCUUGGGGCAAUGUUUGACAAACAUAUCCUCAGGUCAUCCUCGAUCUGUGCGUGGUUGCGUUAUUUACUUUUGAGCGCAGUCAGUCUUGAAAAGCCUGCCUCGCACAAAUAUGUCGACGCGAAAAGGAGGAGCAUUUCUAAGGCUAUGUCGCAAAGCUGAUCAUUGCUACCCAGAAUGAUGAAAGAGGGGAGAUGCUUAAGUCUACUGUCACUCUUCAGCUGCUCUUUCAUGUCUAUUGGAAAUGGAUCCCGAACUCAGGCCAAUUAACGGUAGUCCUCUUUGUAGGACCCAAACUGAUUUCUGAUAUUCAGCAAGAUACUGACAUAGGUAUUGCGCUGAGUUUAGCUCCUGUCAUUAUUCUACACUUCUUGUGCGGCCGGCAAAAUCAGUGUUUCGGCAAUUGUAUGGGGUUUGCCAAGCUUAGCAAUUCUAUGAGCAACUACAUAAGAUGCCUCCAGACACUGCUUGGAGAUGGUGGUUCGUUGUUGCUGGAGGCCAUCACGUUUAUGUUUAAAGAAGUCCACAGGCUUCUCUUUCUGACUUUUACGAAUCAGAAACUUGUCCAUAGUUGUGUUUGUGAAGUUAAUAAAGUUCUCAUUUCAGUUCGUCGUGUUCUUGUAUGUGUGGUUGUGAACGACUUGCACACGAAUAAUGGAUAAGGCUGUGCUAGGCAAUAAUUCCUAACAAAACGAACUGUACACAAUGUAGACAGGGACAGCACAAAAUAGUAUUCAAGUGCUGGUGUUUUAUUUGUUGCAACACGGUGGAUGAUCGAAAAAUGUAAAGGUAGAUGUUAAGGAGAAAAGGGCUAGCUGCAGUUGGAAGAAGGUAGAUAGCUAGGCUAGCUCUCGGGGCUACGAGCUUUUUCAAAAGACUGUGGAGCAAAUUACUCCUUAGAAUAGGCUACGAAUAGACCUACUGCAAGUGCAGUGAGGUAUUACUAAGGAAGGAGUGAGUCUUUAAAAAGACUGUUUAUUAAGCAAUGAAUAUCUGAAUGAUAGAGGAAACAAGAGAAAUUGAACAAACUGCAGAGUGUUGUCUCAGGGUGAGCGCUUACCAUGCCUGCGGUUUUUUUUUAUACUCGGAAGCUUGGGUGCAACUCGCGUUCAAAUGAUAAGACUCCGUUUUGAUUGGUGGAUCAGGAGCAAAACAGUAUUUGAUUUGUUUGGGUCAGUCCAGCCCCUUGCAUUUCGCCACUGAGGGAGCUUUCACUAACCAGUGAGGUCGGCGGUCGUUUUUUUUUUUCUCCGUCUGUGACAUCGCGCCCCCCCUGGAGAGUGUUCGCGCCCCCCCCCCCUUUGAGAACCACUGUGUUAGGCCAUACACCUCCCGCAGCUGACAUCUUUGUGAAAAGGCAAUUCCAUAUGAUGAUAGCAGUUAAUUGGGCCACUCACCGGAAAGUCUUGAUUUUACAAAUGAUCUGGUCAUUUGAUCACACAUCCAUCCAUGGGUAAUUCAGGGAUGUUUUACCGCAGGCAGGGGCGGUUUUUCCUACAGGCGGUAUAGGCGGUCGCCUAGGGCGCCACUCAGAGGGGGGCGCAAAAAACUGCGCCCAGCAAAAAAAAAAAAAAAACAAGAAUUAUGUUUUUUUUUUUGCUGGACAGAGUUUUUUUGCGCCCCCUUCUAUAUCUCCAACCAAUAUUUUGACAUAAAAAAAAAAAAUCUAACAUAAAAUGAGCCAAAAAUCGAAAACGGAAGGGGUACGUACGUCCUUGGUGUUGUCAGAACAUGCUAGCACAGUGAGGCGUCCGGGGCGCAAUUUACGAAGAAAAGAAAGGAAGAAGAAGAGAAACGUGCCAAGGAGAAAGGUUUAUUAUAGGGUUAUCUAUAUUUGUGAUAGUUCUCAGGUUAGCCUAUUUCUUGUACCAUCGCUGCCUCUCCAAGCUAAGAGCCCUGCCUGUCGCGCACCAGUCUGAUGAGUGUGCCGGUGUUCGUCUCCUCUCCUGGCGUCCCUUAGAGGAUUGGGACGCCCCAGAGUCACAUGGGCCUCACUUAGCUGAGCCAGAGGACCAGGAUUUCGCUCCACCAUCAUAUAGUUCACUCCAGCUUGAUCUGCCCCCUCCCUACCCAAAGGACUGCCGACCUGCAGAGUCAGACCUCCAGUAUGGUUCCCCGCCCUCCUACUCAGAGAUCUGUGUCUCCCAGCGCCAACCACAACACCAGCUGUCCUCAGUGCUAGAACUGCCCCCACCACCACCACCGCCACACCCUCCUACACCAUCUACAGAACCGCCCCACCCCCCCACACUCUGCCUCAUCGAUGUAGAGGUGACCAGACUCUAGGGUGGCCAGAUAUGGGAGACCUCUGAGACCUCUGCUCACCACACACACACAAAAUGAGUCACUAUACACUCUUUACACCAAAAUAAGGAAGUGUUUUACUUAAAUAAUAAGCAACUGGCAUACCGGAUACUACCAAUAUCAAGGACAUUGUUGGGACAACAAAGACAGCUGACAUUAAUGACUGUGUUCGCCCCUUUGGAAAGGAGAAAUGCUGGCAUCUCUUGGAUGCAACCAAAAACAAGGACAUUCGUUUGACAGUCACUGAUGGGACAGUAGUUCAGUUGACAAUUGUGGCUGUGCUUACUUGUCCCUCUUUAAGACUGGGCCUAACCUCAGGUGCAGAGAAGAGUCUACACAGCUAAGUCCCAUUCACAACCCCCUAAAGGUUGUAGACGAACAAUGCUAGUGCCAUAUGCUCGCCAUAACAUUCCGUUUCCUUGGUGACGAGCCAUCGCCCCGGAGAACAGGGUUUUGAUGAUUCGUCACCAUGCCCACUCUCAUCCAGGGACCCUGGAGAGUUUCUGGGACAUCCUAGACUGGGUGC